UCCACAUCAACCCUCCUUCCUCUCUCUGCUUUCUAUGGAAGCACAUUCCUGACACAGGACCUGAUUACUACUUUUCAUUAGACACUGUGAGAAUAGCUGAAGUGCAGCCACCCGCUAGGACCAUCUGCUCCUCCGGGACAGUACCAGCGUCUGUUGGCCAUCAAGCAGAAUCCCGGAACUUCAGCAGCUGUAACCUCUCUGCACACCAUUCCAAAAGUGUCUCCGAUGUGCACUGAAUGAAGAAUGAAGGGCUUUCGGGGUGAUGGUCAGUCCUUAGUGAUUUCCUGAGUUUCCACUGGUCAGGAUGUUGAUGGACACACAAACCCACCAGUUCCACACAAUAAGAGGCAGAUGUGUAUCUUAGCCCCUCUUCACAGGCUCAUAACUCUGGAAGUGAGUCAUGUACAAUCUCGUGAUCAGAUGGAAUGGAAAGGCCAACUCUAGAGAUUCAGGAAAUAAACCAUAUUUCUACGCUGUAUUAUCAUAAAGACAGAAAAACAUACAGAUAGAAACAUCAAAUUUGACACUCAGGCAUGUUUGUGGGCCCUAGAAAACUAAUGUACUCUCACUGGCCACUUUAUUAGGUACUAGGAUUGCUAGUAAAACGUUGGACCUCCUUUUGCUUUCAGAACUGCCUUAAUUCUUCAUGGCAUACUUUCUACAAGGUGUUGGAAAUGUUCCUC